AGCAAGGGGUGUUUCUGCAGACACUGGUAGAGGUGAGCUCCAGGGUGCCUGGAAAGGGGGCUGCCCAAUUAGGAACUGUGCCUCAGGGAAAAAGAAGCUCUCCCCCAAAGCUUCCCAACAGCUCACUGGAGUUUGACAUUCAUUUUACCAUAUUGCCCUGGAUAAAACCUAUCCUUCCAUAGCAGGAAGUGAAAUAUAAUAAUGAUUUUAACAAGUACCAUUUCAUUGAGCAUUCUCAUUGAGUAUUCCAGGUAGGUAUUAACCUAAGCAUCUCAUGUAAAUAAGUCUUCACAGCUGCAUAAGGUUAACAAUCAUCAAGCCCACUUUAUAAAUGAGAUGCCAAGAAGUGUCCUGAUUUGCCCAGGGUAACCCAGUUAAGAGAAUCAAACCCUCAUCUGUGCUGCCAAAGUCAGUGCUGCUCAGCACCCUAAACGCAAGAAGCAUGUUAUCACAGGAAUCUGCACUGGAGCAGUGUAUACAUACAAACACAGACACAGUCCCUUUCCUCAGGUGCAUGCAGUCUGGUAGGCAAACACAACUUAUACUCAGAAUAGCUCAAACUGAAUUAUAAAUGACUGAGGUUAGACCCAAACCUGAGAACAGGCUUUCAUAUGGAACAGCAUAAGAACAAGAUCACAGGAGGAGGAUGUGAAAUGGGCAAGCUGAGGGCCUAAAACCGCCCUUCAUAAGUCUGCCCAAAGCCAAUUAGACACUUUUAAGGUUUUUUUGUUUGUUUUUGUUUUUCUUGUCUCUUAGGGACACACCCAUGGCAUAUGGAGGUUCCCAGGCUAGGGGUCCAAUCAGAGCUAUAGCUGCCAGCCUACACCACAUCUCACAGCAAUGCCGGAUCCCUAAGCCACUGAACAAGGCCAGGGAUCAAACCCACGUCCUCAUGGAUACUAGUCGGGUUUGUUAACCACUGAGUCACAACAGGAACUUUUUUUUUUUUUUAAUGCUAGUAAGUUUCUGAUUCCAAUUCCCAUGUGUGGGAGCUUCUUUCCCACAUGAGGCAAUUCUCUGGGUACCCUACAAUUCAACUCAAUUCUAGUACUACUUACCCAGAGGUAAAAUCGGAUACCACAGGUUAAGGGCUCAGCCCCACAAGACUGCCCCCUCUCUUAAGACGCCAGUCGACAGCCCGCUUUUCUGAAUGACCAACUAUAACUGGAAGUCCGAACCACUCCCUGCUCAGGUUGAGUGAAUUUGCCGGAGCAGUUCAUAGAACUCAAACAUUGUACUUACCAGCGUAUCAGUUCAUUAUGAAGGACAAGGAACAACCAGAAGGAAGAGAUUCACAGAACAAGAUUUGGAGAAACCGUGCAGAGCUCCCAUGCCCUCUCCAGGCACACCACUCUCCCAGCACCUCCAUGUUCAGCAACCCGGAAGCCCUCUGACCCCAGUCCUGCUGGGAUUUUAUAGAGGCUUCAAAAACAUAGGCACAAUUGAUUAAAUCGCUGGCCAUUGGUAAAUGAACUCAUUCUCCUUCCCUUCUCUCCUGGCCCAAGGUCAGGGGGUGGAACCAAAAAUUCUAAUCACAUGAUUGGCUCUCCUGGCAACCAGCUUCCAUCCUCAGGUCUGGCCAGUCACCAUUAAUACAACAAAGGCACCUUUAAAGCUCUCAUCACAGGAAAGUCCAAGGGAAAUUCCAAUUCUGGAGCUCUGUGCCAAAAAUGGGGACAAAGACCAAAUAUACACUUACUAUAAAUCACAAAUGACAACUGGGCAUCCCAUGGGAUUAGGAAUUUUGUCAUCCUUAUUUAACUCCCUAUCCCCAGUACCCAACAUCGAUAUUUUGUUGGGAGAAUGGAAGCAGAAAAAGAAAACAUGCAAAAUUAAGUAAGUGAAAGAAAAGAAAUCUCAUCCUAAAUCUAACCAUCGUCUUAAGGAAAAAAAAGCGGGGGGAGGGAGUAGGCAGGGGAAGUGCAGAGGAGGUGGAAGGGGAAGAGCAGAGAUAACUGUGGGGUCAGGUGCAAGUGAUGUCCACAGCUGAAAUGACCACUCUGAAUGGCUAGCUAUAGAUUAGCACUCAUGAAAACCUGAGUGCAUUAGAAUCACCUGGGGAGCUUGUUAAACCACAGGUUUCUGAGUCACCCUGAGAGUUUCUGAUUCCGGGUGAAAAGGGAAAUUUUGCUUUUCUAACUAAUUCCCAGGUGACACUAAUGUUAUUGGUUCAGGCUUCAGUCCUCUGAGAACCAAUGGCAUUCACCCUUCAUUGCACCUUGGAGAGCUUAUAAAAACUUGCAGCUGGUACGCCUGACCAACUCUACCAUAAUCCUUAGGGGUGGAACCAAGUUAUGACUGUUUUGAAAAAGUAGGACCAGGUGAUUGCACGGCGCAGCCAAACCAGAGAGGAAGUAAUGUAGACACAUACAUUGGGCUUCAAGUUCAUACACUAUAAAAAUAACAACUGAUAUUUACUAAGCACUUACCUUGUGACAGUCUGUCUGCUGAGUACACUACUGCAUGAUCUCAUUUAACCCACACAGGAAUUUUUCUAGUAGGGAGUAUUAUUUCCCUUUUAUUUAGGAG
rnacentral:lncRNA from 1 species